rnacentral:rRNA from 1 species
AAUCAACGCUGGCGGCGUGCCUCAGACAUGCAAGUCGAACGAUUAAAGCUCUCUUCGGAGAGUGCAUAGAGUGGCGCACGGGUGAGUAACACGUAAGUAAUCUACCCUCGAGUGGGGAAUAACAGUCGGAAACGACUGCUAAUACCGCAUAAUGCAGCGGCACCGCAAGGUGACAGUUGUUAAAGGAGCAAUCCGCUUGAGGAGGAGCUUGCGGCAGAUUAGCUAGUUGGUAAGGUAACGGCUUACCAAGGCUACGAUCUGUAUCCGGUCUAAGAGGACGGUCGGACACACUGACACUGAAUGACGGGUCAGACUCCUACGGGAGGCAGCAGUCGGGAAUUUUGGGCAAUGGGCGAAAGCCUGACCCAGCAACGCCGCGUGAAGGAUGAAGUAUUUCGGUAUGUAAACUUCGAAAGAAUGGGAAGAAUAAAUGACGGUACCAUUUAUAAGCUCCGGCUAACUACGUGCCAGCAGCCGCAGUAAUAC